rnacentral:lncRNA from 1 species
AAAUUUACCAUACCAAAACAAAAUCAAAUUUUGUUUAGGAGAUUUACAAAAGACAUGCGUGCAUACAUCCAUACGUUACGUUUUGAAUCCUUGAUAAUUCAAUAAUUUGUCUCAUGAACUACUUUUUCUUGUUACGAGGCUUAAACUAGUUUUGUAGUCAAAGAAUUAAAACAUGUAUUUGACAAGAGUGAUGAAAGAAGAAUCACUACUGACCUCAUUAUAUAAACUGAUCAAUGCCACAAUUAAUAUACACAGCGAGAAAUAAUGUUCACUGCAAACCUAACAAAAAAAUGCUUGAUAAUUACUAUGAGUGACUAAACUUAAACCAACAAAUGCGUCUACUCUUUACUUCCACUACACUAAUCUGUUUCAAUACAUGUGGAUUAAAAAUUAUAUUAAAUCAUAAUUUGUAUUUGCAUUGAAAAUUAAUAGAUGAUAUAACAUUUUUAUAUAUUCAUAUGUAUAUAUAUAUAUA